AGAGAAAGAAGAGCAAAGACUUGAAAGCCACAAUCUUGAAACUACUGGAGACUUAGAAGAACCAAUGAACACAAUCCAACAGGAAGAGAAAGCAGACAGAAGGCUGCAUGCUGCUGGCCAAGCUGAGGAGGUGGUAAGGACUCCUCUGCAAGAGCUUCUCACGAGGGCAGAGCUUAGCCAGACUGGAACCUGAAGGACCUGGGACUCUCCACUGGCUGCCUUGGUGGGACUCGAACUCCACGGCGUGGCCCAUCGCCCAUCAGAUAGUAUUGUAGGGGAUUGGACCACAGCUCCCCUUUGAUAAUUUCAGCUAUUCUGUCGAAUUCUAGGAGGCUGUGGUCUGAGAACCAGUUGAAGAAACUGGGAAUCGUGUUCCCCUCCCUAUUCCUGUGGAUGUGGGCCUGGGGUUCCUGACCCCGGUGCCAGCGGAUUGGCGUAGAGAGUGACACCACUCGACCUGAGGAUCUGCGCUCAUAUUCUUUGACCAGCCCCUCAUUUCGAAAGUAGGGGUUGCUUUGGAAGAUGAACUUAAAUUUGCACCCUACUCUUGGCUGCUUAAGCUCCUCCACCUCUAAAUUGAUCAUGUACCUCAUCAUGUCUUCAUCUUGGCCACUAAUCAUUGGUGACAGCUGGGGGUGGUUCCGAAAAGCGGUGACCCAGAAACCUGGGAUGUUUUGGAUGAUGAAACUUCUGCGCUGCAUGUGGAGCCUUCUCAUCCGCCCAAAUUUGCGUUCCAGCUGGAGGAAGGCCCUGUCAGCCUGCGCAUUUACAUUUGACAGCUCUUGAUCGAUGGCCUCCAGCGAGUCCAUGCAAUUGAUCUUCGGAGCUCUGGGUCGAGUCUCCUCUUUCCCUCCUCCAGCUACCUUUUUUUCCUUCUGUAACCCCUUCUUUUCCUGCAUUGCCGCUCCUGCUUCUCCCUCCUUGCCGGUGGCCACAGAGAUGGCACACUUGGUAGUCGUCAUUUCCUUGGUCUUCUUCGGCCCCGGCAUCUGCUGAGACCCCAGGCCCACCGCACCACAGGCUUCCAGGGCUUUCGGUUUAGCAGGGCUGUGAGGCCCUUCAAGCUGACAGCCAUUUUUACUGCUGUCGUCGGCUGCCACAGGGGCUGAGGGUGCGUCCCCGCCCUUUGAUGGAGACGGAGCAUCCUCCAGACCUCUCGCUGCCGCAGCACAACUAUUCUCAGCCACUCGGAAGCAGAGCUCGGGGCCGCAGUGCUCGGAAUCCGGAGACGCGCCUCCAUCCGCACCGGCCUCACCUGCAGCCUCCAUCUCCCGCACUGUGUCGGUUUCCUCUUGGAGCCCCUGGUCCUGCUUCAGAUCCAGAUCUUCGGAGGCAUGGGAGGGGGUCGUGGUGUUAGCGAGAGAUAGCUCGUUGUUCCCUUCCACGCCGUUCAUUUUGGCAGCUGACAGCCCUGCAGAGCUUUCCUUGUCCUCUGCAGACGCAGCGCAAAACCGCAGUGAGUGCUUAGCUCCACCCCUUUUCCUUCUGGGCUGGUGCUACCAUGGCAACCUGUGACGUCAGGAUACCAGCUGCAACUAACCGUAGCGCGAGAACUGGCAAUCGAGGAAUAGAGAAGCGAAUUCACCAGCUCACAGGCCCUCCUUAUUUCGGACACAGAUUCGAUUCAUAGCGGCUACUGAGGAGCUGCGCAGAAUCAGAUUUGGGGGGCAAAAAGUGUCGUCGUUGUUUUUACUUUCAAGCAAACAAGACAUUCCUAAGGUUAAUUUCGAUUUCUGCAGAGAUUUUGAUGUUUGUAUACAUUGGCCGACAUCUACAAAGCAAUUGGAUAUUUCUUCACUUUUAAAUAAAUAGUAAACCGCGCCUUAUUUACAGGUGGCCACAACGCAUGCCAUAUACACAGUUAGCCCCUGAGAAUUAGUGAAGGAAAUGUAACCUCAGAGGAUUCAAUUUCUAAAACGAUACACAUUAAUCCUCCUUUGCCUUGGUUUAUGAUCUUAGGUUCUGCUUCAUGCCUGUGGGUAUGGAGCCAACUAACAUUUGUCCAAAUUUGCCUUUGUGAAGGUAGAAUCAAUCAGGGUUUUUCACACGCUUAAGCAACUGUGUCUUUAAAAUAAUCUACUUUUAAAAAGAAGGGUCAUUCAUUCAAGUCAAUUUAGAAAAUGUAUUUAUUUAUUUAUUUACUCAAUCAUUUAUUUAAAUAAAUAAAAGCUAUUUAUGUAUUUAAUCACCACGGUCUCUCAGUUUGCUAAAGUCUGAGAAUUCAGAUGUUAAUCCUUAAGGGAUAGAAAAAAACAGAAACUUAAAUUUUGCAUAUUUAAUGUUUGAAUUUCUAUUAGACCAAAGCUUUAGAGUUCUUUGCCCUGGGAAAUUGAUUCCUCCCAGAAUAUGGUUACACUACAAUAAGAGUCUUUGAAUAGGGGUUUAAAGAAAAAAAAACAAAAACAAAAAACAUUACCCUAAGAACUCUAAUGAGGGAAAUAAUGGCUCCUGGUUCACCUAAGACUCUGAGGUGGUGAGAACAACACAUGGCAUAUCAUGCAGCUUGAUUUUUUUCUUUCUUUCUAUGCCAAAGGUGAGUGUUCUCACUCAAAGACAGUUGUCCAGGCUGGCCUCUUCCUAGCCCUAUCUCCCAAAAAAGGAAAGAAAAAAAGGAAAAUCAAUUGAUUAUCUAAAUAAAAUUAAAAUGUACACACAAAUACCAAUUCUUUUUCUGUCCCCCUUUCCUUUUUCUCUUAACAAAUAUUCUUUUUGCCUUACUGAGGUGAAAUAAAUGUAUCGCUAACUUCCUAUGUAAGCACAUAAACACUGCUAUAAUAC
ensembl:lincRNA Gm26564 predicted gene, 26564